GGAGUCUGGUCCGUGUCUCAGUACCAGUGUGGGGGACCUUCCUCUCAGAACCCCUACCGAUCGAUGCCCCGGUGGGCCGUUACCCCGCCGGCAAGCUAAUCGGACGCAUCCCCAUCCCAUAGCGGUGAACCUUUGUUCCAAAGUUAGAUGUCUGCUUCGGAAAACAUAGGGUAUUAAUCCGCAUUUCUACGGGCUAUGCCCUACUAUGGGGAAGGUUGGAUACGCGUUACUCACCCGUGCGCCGGUCGCCGACAAGGAAAGCAAGCUUUCCUCUCGAUGCCCCUCGACUUGCAUGUGUUAAGCCUGUAGCUAGCGUUCAUC
rnacentral:rRNA from 1 species